rnacentral:rRNA from 1 species
GACGGACGCUGGCGGCGUGCUUAACACAUGCAAGUCGAACGGAAAGGCCCUGCUUUUGUGGGGUGCUCGAGUGGCGAACGGGUGAGUAACACGUGAGUAACCUGCCCUUGACUUUGGGAUAACUUCAGGAAACUGGGGCUAAUACCGGAUAGGAGCUCCUGCUGCAUGGUGGGGGUUGGAAAGUUUCGGCGGUUGGGGAUGGACUCGCGGCUUAUCAGCUUGUUGGUGGGGUAGUGGCUUACCAAGGCUUUGACGGGUAGCCGGCCUGAGAGGGUGACCGGCCAAAUGGGGGCAGAGAGAGGCCCCGACCUCUUGGGGAGGACAGCAGGGGGAAAUAUUGCAGAGGGGGGGGAGCCCGGAGGAAGAACCGCCGCGGGGGGGAUGAGGCCCUGGGGUUUGAAAACCGCUUGCGCCUGUGAAGAAGGGUGGGGAGGGAAAAGGGAAAGAGAGACACGGACAAAGUAGGGG